GACGAACGCUGGCGGCGUGCUUAACACAUGCAAGUCGAACGGAAAGGCCCUGCUUUUGUGGGGUGCUCGAGUGGCGAACGGGUGAGUAACACGUGAGUAACCUGCCCUUGACUUUGGGAUAACUUCAGGAAACUGGGGCUAAUACCGGAUAGGAGCUCCUGCUGCAUGGUGGGGGUUGGAAAGUUCGGCGGUUGGGGGUGGAAUCGCGGCUUAUCAGCUUGUUGGUGGGGGAGUGGCUUACCAAGGCUUUGACGGGUAGCCGGCCUGAGAGGGUGACCGGCCACAUUGGGACUGAGAUACGGCCCAGACUCCUACGGGAGGCAGCAGUGGGGAAUAUUGCACAAUGGGCGGAAGCCUGAUGCAGCAACGCCGCGUGCGGGAUGACGGCCUUCGGGUUGUAAACCGCUUUCGCCUGUGACGAAGCGUGAGUGACGGUAAUGGGUAAAGAAGCACCGGCUAACUACGUG
rnacentral:rRNA from 1 species